rnacentral:rRNA from 1 species
GCGGGCAUGUCUAGUAUAAGCAAUUAUACCGUGAAACUGCGAAUGGCUCAUUAAAUCAGUUAUCGUUUAUUUGAUAGUACCUUACUACUUGGAUAACCGUGGUAAUUCUAGAGCUAAUACAUGCUGAAAACCCCAACUUCGGGAGGGGUGUAUUUAUUAGAUAAAAAACCAACGCCCUUCGGGGCUUCUUGGUGAUUCAUGAUAACUUCACGGAUCGCAUGGCCUUGCGCCGGCGACGGUUCAUUCAAAUUUCUGCCCUAUCAACUUUCGAUGGUAAGGUAUUGGCUUACCAUGGUUUCAACGGGUAACGGGGAAUUAGGGUUCGAUUCCGGAGAGGGAGCCUGAGAAACGGCUACCACAUCCAAGGAAGGCAGCAGGCGCGCAAAUUACCCAAUCCCGACACGGGGAGGUAGUGACAAUAAAUACUGAUACAGGGCUCUUUUGGGUCUUGUAAUUGGAAUGAGUACAAUUUAAACCUCUUAACGAGGAACAAUUGGAGGGCAAGUCUGGUGCCAGCAGCCGCGGUAAUUCCAGCUCCAAUAGCGUAUAUUAAAGUUGUUGCAGUUAAAAAGCUCGUAGUUGAAACUUGGGCCUGGCUGGCAGGUCCGCCUCACCGCGUGUACUUGUCCGGCCGGGCCUUUCCUUCUGGAGAACCUCAUGCCCUUCACUGGGUGUGUUGGGGAACCAGGACUUUUACUUUGAAAAAAUUAGAGUGUUCAAAGCAGGCCUUUGCUCGAAUACGUUAGCAUGGAAUAAUAGAAUAGGACGUGCGGUCCUAUUUUGUUGGUUUCUAGGACCGCCGUAAUGAUUAAUAGGGACAGUCGGGGGCAUCAGUAUUCAAUUGUCAGAGGUGAAAUUCUUGGAUUUAUUGAAGACUAACUACUGCGAAAGCAUUUGCCAAGGAUGUUUUCAUUAAUCAGUGAACGAAAGUUAGGGGAUCGAAGACGAUCAGAUACCGUCGUAGUCUUAACCGUAAACUAUGCCGACUAGGGAUCGGGCGAUGUUCUUUUUCUGACUCGCUCGGCACCUUACGAGAAAUCAAAGUUUUUGGGUCUGGGGGGAGUAUUCCCCCCG